GUAGUACUCUCCUACCAUGAAGUACUUAGUUUGCUCUAAAAGUAAUGCCUUCUAUUUAAUUCCGCAUUUUCUCAGGUGCCUGAAUUUACGUCUCAGCGCAGUUCCAACCAGUCUCGGACUUCCAGCACCAAACUUGGUUUCCAGACCCCAGGCUUUAUCUGCAUCCUGGCAGACUUCAUCCCAGCAACUAUUAUUUCUCUGGAAUAUCCCAACAUGGGCUUAGUGCCAAGCACACUAGUGUUGGAGAGGAGAAGCUGAUCUGCAGCUGUUCUCACCAUGAGGAAAUGCAGGUAUCUUGCAACAGGGGCCAGAUGGUUCGGGAAAUGGAAAAUGGCAUAAAAGAAUUGCAAGUAACAAUCUACUGAAGAUCAGAAAUAGCCACGUUACGUUGCCUUCUGAAGUCUAUACAGCAACCAGUUUAAAUGAACCUGGAGAGCGGGUCUCACUUCAGCAACCAGUCUUGUAACAUCAAAUUCCAUAAGCAUUUCUUCCAUAUGACAAGAAGAAACAAAAUACAUAAAGCUGCAGACAGCCCUGUAGAUGACACUGAAGCUAGAAAAUCCUGAGAUUUCAAACUGCAGCAGGGAAAAGGCUGGAUGUUGAGUAAAUACAAAGCUGAAAGGAAGAAAAUGAAACUGCCUCUGCUACAAAAUUGUAAUUGUCGAGAAUAAAUCUGUAAAAGCACAUCAGCCUUGCACUGUGAAAAUACUGACAUCAUCCUCUAAUACAGUUAGAGAAAUUCUGGAGACCAUAUUAGAAAAUCAGAAAACAGCAUCAAGAAAUAUUCUUCUUAAUAAGGUCCAGUACAAGAAUAAUUAAUUAGUUCA